CAGGAGUCUGAGCGCACAGUGGUUGCCUUGGGGAUGCUGAAAGAGGCCGCAUUUCUGGCCAGCCCAGGUGAGCCAAGAAAGAAUACCAGGGGGAAUAAGCAGACUCGCCAGGCCACAGGGAAAGGGCUGCAAAGUUACUCACACAGCUGCUCUAUUUGUCUGUAAGAGGAGCGGUCAGUCUCCACCAGCUCCCACCCGCUGGGUGGCUGGGAUAAAGCGAGUGGGGUGGGAACGUCCUUCAACGCAUCCUCAUCAGAUCCAGUAACUCAUGCUUGAGUAACUCGGAGCUUACUGGGAUGACGUGGGUAGGUGGCCUGCAGCUCUGCUCAGGAGGGUCUUCUCCAGUCAUGUGAGCCUUAGAGAAUGCAUCCUGCCCCAUGUCCUCCGUACGUUUCAACAACUGGGAUCCCACUGGCUCCUGUUACAACCGAGCUAGGACCAACAGUAACAACAGCAAGAACACCAGCACUACCCCCGCGACAGCAUCUCCCUUUUAUAAAGCAUCUCUUACCUGCCCAGGAGAAGAGGAAGGAUGAAGUGGGCACCCAGGACGCAUGGGAAGGGGUUCCCAGCUCCUGGAAACAUGAGGAAACCAUCCUCAGUAAGGUUCCAUAG
rnacentral:lncRNA from 1 species